UAACCGGUUGCUCCAAAUCGACCUCAGG
rnacentral:piRNA from 1 species